rnacentral:rRNA from 1 species
UACGGGGGGGGCAAGCGUUGUUCGGAAUUACUGGGCGUAAAGGGCUCGUAGGUGGCCAACUAAGUCGGACGUGAAAUCCCUCGGCUUAACCGGGGAACUGCGUCUGAUACUGGAUGGCUUGAGUUCGGGAGAGGGAUGCGGAAUUCCAGGUGUAGCGGUGAAAUGCGUAGAUAUCUGGAGGAACACCGGUGGCGAAGGCGGUUCUCUGGGCCUGUUCUGACGCUGAGGAGCGAAAGCGUGGGGAGCAAACAGG